rnacentral:rRNA from 1 species
UACGAAGGGGGCUAGCGUUGCUCGGAAUUACUGGGCGUAAAGGGCGCGUAGGCGGAUAGUUUAGUCAGAGGUAAAAGCCCAGGGCUCAACCUUGGAACUGCCUUUGAUACUGGCUAUCUUGAGUACGGGAGAGGUGUGUGGAACUCCGAGUGUAGAGGUGAAAUUCGUAGAUAUUCGGAAGACCACCAGUGGCGAAGGCGACACACUGGCCCGUUACUGCCGCUGAGGCGCGAAAGCGUGGGGAGCACACAGG